AUCCAGCUGACGAGCCCCAAAUAGUAGGAAACGCGCGUCCUGGAU
rfam:Schistosoma rodhaini strain Burundi genome assembly, scaffold: SROB_contig0007568